GGGUUCGGCCCUCGGCGCACUGCUCAGUAACACGUGGAUAACCUACCCUGAGGUANGGGAUAACCCCGGGAAACUGGGGAUAAUACCCUAUAGGUUUCAGAUGCUGGAAUGCACUGAAACUCAAAGCUCCGGCGCCUCAGGAUGGAUCUGCGGCCGAUUAGGUAGUUGUUGGGGUAACGGCCCAACAAGCCUGUAAUCGGUACGGGUUGUGGGAGCAAGAGCCCGGAGAUGGAUUCUGAGACACCAAUCCAGGCCCUACGGGGCGCAGCAGGCGCGAAAACUUUACAAUGCGAGAAAUCGUGAUAAGGGAACCCCGAGUGCCUGAAACCAGGCUGUUCAGGUGUGUAAAAAGCACCUGGAGAAAGGGCCGGGUAAGACCGGUGCCAGCCGCCGCGGUAAUACCGGCGGCUCGAGUGGUGGCCGCGAUUAUUGGGCUUAAAGCGUCCGUUGCUGGGUUGCUAAGUCUCUUGGGAAAUCUCACGGCUUAACCGUGAGGCGUCCAAGAGAUACUGGCAAUCUUGGGACCGGGAGAGGUGAGAGGUACUCCAGGGGUAGGAGUGAAAUCCUGUAAUCCUUGGGGGACCACCGGUGGCGAANGCGUCUCACCAGAACGGCUCCGACAGUGAGGGACGAAAGCU
rnacentral:rRNA from 1 species